GAUGAAGAACGUAGCCAAAUGCGAUACUUGGUGUGAAUUGCAGAAUCCCGUGAACCAUCGAGUCUUUGAACGCAAGUUGCGCCUCAAGCCAUUAGGUUGAGGGCACGUCUGCCUGGGCGUCACAUAUCGUUGCCUGAUGCCAGUUUCCUCGUGAUGGGUGACUGUGCAGGGCGAAUGAUGGCUUCCCGUGAGCAUUGUUGCCUCAUGGUUGGUUGAAAAUUGAGUCCUUGGUAGGGAGCGCCGUGAUAGAUGGUGGUUGAGUGACGAACGAGACCCAAUCAUGUGAGACCCCUACCGAAUUUGGCCUUCAUGACCCACAUGCGUCUUUGGAACGCUCAUGACGAGACCUCAGGUCAGGCGGGGCUACCCGCUGAGUUUAAGCAUAUCAAUAAGCGGAGGA
rnacentral:misc_RNA from 1 species